ACACUAGUUGAAGUGGAAUCUAUAUUAGCUCGUACGGGAGUACGUGAGGAGCUAGGAGGGUGGGGAGGCAUGGCCCUAGCGUUAGAGCCCGGGCUCCUGACGUUCUGUGUCUUCCUGUUGAGGGGCCGUCAGGGCCGCUGUGGGUCCUGAAGACAGUGGGUGCCAUAUGGACCAGGGGGUGCGGAAGCCUCUAGAGGUUGCGGGAGGCAAGGAGACGGUCGCUUUCCCAGAGCCAGCCCUGCCGACACCUCGAUGUUAGGUGGUGGGACCUGUUUUGGACUCCAGCUUCCAGAAAUGUGAGAAAAUAAGUCAGUGUUUAGGGCGCUAAAUUUGGGGUGAUUUAGUGGAGAAAUAGAAAACUAGUCCACGAAGGUGCACGCAUUGAAAUGUGCUCUGUCCAGGUGUUCACAGUGGCGUGAGGGGGAUGGCAUCAGGGUUCUGGGAACCGUGCAGUUUUACUGAAGGAAGGGAGCUCGCCACGCCUUUCCUCAUGUAACUGAAGUAUUGAUCUUGACAAGUGAAAUGGUCAGAACCAAAUGUGCCCCUCAGCUUGGGCCUCGCGGUUGGCAGAAGACUCUGGCGGGCAACAGACUGGAGACUCGGAGACCGAGGGGAGAAUUCUCACGCCCUGACGCUGUUGCAGUCACUGCUUCUGGACUCCUGCUGGAGUGAGCGGCCCCUUCGCCUUGCAGGUUUUGGUGCAGUGGAGACCUUAGGACCUGCCCCUCCUGGCACACCUCUCCUGGGCUGUGUGUGAAGAGCUGCCCAUCGGAAUCGCCCUCCUGCCUGGUGUCUCAUUCACCAGAAAUCGUUCUCACUGUGGACUCUUGACUCAAAUGUAAUCCAGGAAUGGAACGUGCUGUUGCUGGAUGCCACACGCAGCAUCGGGAGCCGAGUUGGGGAUUAUAUGAUCUUACCCCACACCUUAGAAGUGAAGAUUAUCGUUGUCAGGCCUCUGAGCCCAAGCCAAGCCAUCGCAUCCCCUGUGACUUGCAUGUAUAUGCC